GACGAACGCUGGCGGCGUGGAUUAGGCAUGCAAGUCGCGCGACAGACCUUCGGGUUAUGGAGCGGCGAACGGGUGAGUAACACGUGAGAAAUCUACCUUUACGUUCCGGAUAAUUGGAAGAAAUUCCUUGUAAUACGGGGGAGGGUUCCCACUGCAGGCAUCUGCGAGGGAACGAAACGAAGCAAUCGGCGCAAAGAAUGAUCUCGCGGCUUAUCAGGUAGUUGGUGGGGUAACGGCCUACCAAGCCUACGACGAGUAGCUGGUCUGAGAGGAUGGUCAGCCACAUUGGAACUGAGACACUGUCCAGACUCCUACGGGAGGGCUGCAGUCGAGAAUCUUGGGCAAUGCACGAAAGU
rnacentral:rRNA from 1 species